CCUACGGGGCGCAGCAGUAGGGAAUUUUCGUCAAUGGGCGUAAGCCUGAACCAGCCAAGUCGCGUGAGGGAUGAAGGUUCUAUGGAUCGUAAACCUCUUUUAUAAGGGAAUAAAGUGUGGGACGUGUCCUGUUUUGUAUGUACCUUAUGAAUAAUGAUCGGCUAACUCCGUGCCAGCAGCCGCGGUAAUACGGAGGAUCCGAGCGUUAUCCGGAUUUAUUGGGUUUAAAGGGUGCGUAGGCGGCCUUUUAAGUCAGCGGUGAAAGUCUGUGGCUCAACCAUAGAAUUGCCGUUGAAACUGGGAGGCUUGAGUAUGUUUGAGGCAGGCGGAAUGCGUGGUGUAGCGGUGAAAUGCUUAGAUAUCACGCAGAACCCCGAUUGCGAAGGCAGCCUGCCAAGCCAUGACUGACGCUGAUGCACGAAAGCGUGGGGAUCAAACAGGAUUAGAUACCCCGGUAGUC
rnacentral:rRNA from 1 species